UACAGAGGUCUCAAGCGUUGUUCGGAUUCAUUGGGCGUAAAGGGUGCGUAGGCGGCGCGGUAAGUCGGGUGUGAAAUUUCGGAGCUUAACUCCGAAACUGCAUUCGAUACUGCCGUGCUUGAGGACUGGAGAGGAGACUGGAAUUUACGGUGUAGCGGUGAAAUGCGUAGAUAUCGUAAGGAAGACCAGUGGCGAAGGCGGGUCUCUGGACAGUUCCUGACGCUGAGGCACGAAGGUCAGGGGGAGCAAAACGGGG
rnacentral:rRNA from 1 species